rnacentral:lncRNA from 1 species
AAAACAUCCUUUGUUCUGAGGAGAAAAGAGUUUACACUGGCCUUUGUGGCAACUUUUAAUCACUGCUUUAUUUAAAAAAAAAAAUUAAAAUAAGAAAGUACUGUGUGAGUCUUCCAGCUUUCCAGGGACUUUGAGCUUCCAAGAGCUAGAAGCCAUUUCCCGAUUCAGACGCUUAGGUCAUCUGCGAGUGGGACAGCAGCGCCAUCCAGUGGCCAUCUUGCGCAGCAGCUCCUCUGUAUUCCUGAACCCGUAGUAUUUUUCCUUCUGCUCCAGAACAUGCAGUCUCGGAAGUCCUGUAGUAUAGAAACUUGUUUUCCCAAAGUCACUUGGAUAUACCUUCUUUUUUUUUCCCCUUGGUUCAACAUCUGUUAACUUUUUGAAGAAUUAAUGUUCUACGGAAUUUCUUGGAGAAAAAACUUUCUCAAAGUGUGGUCCAAGGACCUUCUGUGGGGGUUUUCAAGAGUCUUUUAGGGGUUCUGCAAGGUUAAAAUUAUUUUUGUAGUACUAAGACAUUAUUCGCGUUUUUGUUCUCAUUCUUUCUUGCAAGUGCAGUGUAGUUCUCCAGGGGCUACAUGACUUGUGACAAAGCAGAGGCAGAUAUGAGAAUUAAGCUAUUAAACCAGAUGCUAAAGAGAUUUGCAAAAUUACAAAAACAAUGUCGCUUAUUUUUUUGUUUUGGAAAAUAGUUAUUUUUCUUAAAAUUAUGUAAUUUAUAUUAACAUAUAAUGGAUUAUUAUUUAAAAUUAAUUAAUAAUUUUUAAAAUGUGUUUUAAUUUUGAAUUUGGUGAGUAUUGAGAAAUAUUGCCCACUCACAGAAACAAAGCUUUUGGAGGGGCCGGUUCUGGGGCCGAGUGAAGUUCGCGCGCUCCGCUGCCGUGGCCUAGGGUUCGGAUCCUGGCCGCGGACAUGGCACUGCUCAUCAGGCCACGUUGAGGCGGCGUCCCAUAUCCCACAACUAGAAGGACCUGCAACUAAGAUAUACUACUGUAAUCCCGUCCUCAGAGUCAGCUUCCUGAGACCAUCUCUGAUGCCAGCUGUCUUAAAGUUUUGUUCCUGAGCAACAAGACUGAGAUGAAGAUUCUUAUAAGUGAUUGGAAAGGUGCUCCCAGGAAAAGAGGAGUGAAAGAUGCAGAGUAAACAGGAGCAGAAAGCUUAAGCAAGAGUGUGGUACCUGCUAAAGAUUAGUUUCAGUUUGAUUCCACAGAGAGGCUGGAGUUUCACCGUAAAACUAAGCCCACCUUCAGGCAAGGGGGCCAGCUUUUUGUCCCAUUAAGUCUGCUGCCAUUGGCUGAGAUCUGCCCUGGGCAGUAGCGGGUGUUGCCUCCUGGGCAAGGAGACUUCUAUUUGGCUGAGGACUAUUUUCAGGAGUAGGGGCAGCUGUGAAUUGUCAUCAGGCAACACAAACAGCAGCCAGGGGGUGGGCGCACUGCCUGUAAAGAGGAUCCAGGUGGGGCAC